CAGUAGCCACGGUAAUACGAGGGGGGCUAGCGUCGUUCGGAUUUACUGGGCGUAAAGCGCACGUAGGCGGAUCGAUCAGUCAGGGGUGAAAUCCCAGAGCUCAACUCUGGAACUGCCUUUGAUACUGUCGAUCUGGAGUAUGGAAGAGGUGAGUGGAAUUCCGAGUGUAGAGGUGAAAUUCGUAGAUAUUCGGAAGAACACCAGUGGCGAAGGCGGCUUACUGGCUCAUUCUAGACGCUGAGGUGCGAAAGCGUGGGGAGCGAACAGGAUUAGAGACCCCAGUAGUCCCUGUCUCUUAUAC
rnacentral:rRNA from 1 species